ACAGUACGCUUGGAUGAAAUCUGACCUUGAAUCUGUCGGCACAUUCAGUACACCAUGGAUAGUUUUCACAGGUCAUCGACCUAUGUACUCCACUCAACUGCGGGGGAUUUAUUUCUAAACUUUACCAGGUGUGGAUCCGAAAUUUGUAGCAGCUGUGGAACCAUUGCUCUUGAGAAACAAGGUUGAUUUAGCAGUGUGGGGGCAUGUUCACAAUUACCUGCGAACUUGUGCUGUGUUUCAGGGCGCUGCCUGCAGCACCCGAUCAAG